GAACAGAAUGGCUUGGACACAACUGCGCCUAUGACCGAGUUCAUUCAAGCUGGUGGACAAGACACUUCUCUGUCCAUCGGCCUGUCCUGCCAACUCUGGUGUGAGUGUGAAGUUGUGGCAAGAGGGCUUUCCCAGUCCUAUUUGACCUGGUGGACACCAGCUUUCCUAGGAAAUUGCUGAUGUUGCUGAGGAGGCAGCAGUAUCACAGCCCUUGUCGAUGAAGGUACAACAAGCUGGGGAGGCUUUGGCAUUUCUGCACAAUGCUGCUCCCUGAUUGUCACUCAAGACUCAGAUUCUGAAAGAAGCAAAGCAAGCUAGAGGAAAACUGUAUGUCCCGUAUCCAAAACUCCGUGUUACAGCGGAUCUUCUGCUCUGAUCUGAAAAGCUUCACAGGCCAAAAGAGAAUUGAGAUGACGAAGGAAAUAGAGAAUGCUGACCAAUAUUUCCAAUUACCACCUCAACUUCUGUCUUGGCUCUUCACAUCCAGCCAGAGCAGUUUCUUUGCCUCCGCAACCUGCAGGCUGUCCUCUCGUG
rnacentral:lncRNA from 1 species